rnacentral:misc_RNA from 1 species
AGAAACGAAAAGAGGAGAAAACAAUGGAAAUUAGAUUUCUUAAUUUCCUUCCAAAUCUCCAAAACAAUUUUCACCAAUUUGGAGUGAAAAGGGGGUAACUGAAGAAGAAAAAAAAAGAUAGGGAGGCUGAAAUUACGAAUAUACCCUUGAUACCAUAUAAAUAGCAAAGGUUUCAUAAUGUCGAUAUAAUAGAAAAAUAGACUUUAU